GACGAACGCUGGCGGCGUGCUUAACACAUGCAAGUCGAACGGACAGGCGCUGCUCUUGUGGGGUGCUCGAGUGGCGAACGGGUGAGUAACACGUGAGUAACCUGCCCUUGACUUUGGGAUAACUUCAGGAAACUGGGGCUCAUACAGGAGAGGAGCUACUGCUGCACGGUGGGGGUUGGAAAGUUUCGGCGGUUGGGGAUGGUAUAGCGGCUUAUCAGCUUGUUGGUGGGGUAGUGGUUUACAAAGGCUUUGACGGGUAGCCGGCCUGGGAGGGGGGACGGGGACAUUGGGACUGAGGUACGGAGCAGACGGCAACCUUAGGCAGCGGGCGAGAGCCUUGCAGAGCAAGGGGAAGCGUGUGGCAGCAGCGUCGGGUUCGUGAAGCCGGGUUACGGGUGGUGAACCGCUUUGUCCUUUGACGAGGCGGUAGUGACGGUAACGGAUAAAAAAGCAACGGCUAACUACGUG
rnacentral:rRNA from 1 species